CAAAUCAAGAUUGUGCUUAUGUAAAUUAUGGGGGUUACAUCUACGACUAUCCCUGCACUGGAACGUUUUACUUCUAUUGUGACACUGUGUGGCUGAAACGGCAGAUUGUGAGACUGGAGGUAAAAGUCAGUCAGAAUGUGGCUGAAACUACAUUGAUGGCUCUCGUCUUAAAGCAGAUGCAGCAAACCCUCAACAAACAGGGCUGGACCGAAGACGUCACCAUGACAUGGAGGAAACAACACAGUGGACGAGUCUUCCAGAAGAUUCAAACACUUGAACCACAAAGUAGUAAUGAAAGUGCUGUGUGCCCUGGCCCCAACUUCUGAACACAUCUUUUUAUAAAUUAAAUAAUUUUCUGCUAUAGGAAAAGGUAUAUAACAUUUUGUGUGAUGGAACAUAAUU